UACGUAGGGGGCAAGCGUUGUCCGGAAUCAUUGGGCGUAAAGCGCGUGUAGGCGGCCAGAAAAGUCCGCUGUGAAAACUCGAGGCUCAACUUCGAGCUGUCGGUGGAAACUUUCUGGCUAGAGUCCGGAAGAGGAGAAUGGAAUUCCUGGUGUAGCGGUGAAAUGCGCAGAUAUCAAGAAGAACACCCGUGGCGAAGGCGGUUCUCUGGGACGGUACUGACGCUGAGACGCGAAAGCGUGGGGAGCGAACAGG
rnacentral:rRNA from 1 species